rnacentral:rRNA from 1 species
UACGUAGGGUGCAAGCGUUGUCCGGAAUCAUUGGGCGUAAAGCGCGCGUAGGCGGCCCGAUAAGUCCGCUGUAAAAGUCAACGGCUCAACUGUUGAAAGCCGGUGGAUACUGUCGGGCUAGAGUGCGGAAGAGGCGAGUGGAAUUCCUGGUGUAGCGGUGAAAUGCGCGAUAUCGAGAGGAACACCGAGUGCGAAGGCAGG